rnacentral:lncRNA from 1 species
CAACUCAGCCUCAGCGACCCCCAGAACACGGUUUGUUUGGUUUUUGCUUUGUUUUCUGUUUCCCUUCCGAUUCUUUCCGAGCUGGAACUAACCGUACAAUCGCUACUGAACCACGGAUUUCUGGCUAAAAUACAAACUGAGCCGCUCGCCGAGCGUUCUUACAGCCAACCACAACGAGCACAGAAGCGAAGUAGAGCAAGUACACACGUUAAAGCCGAGCGGGGGGAGAACGCGGCCAAUCCCCCGCCGCACCUACAGCAGCACGGGCAGCACAACGCGAGAAAACGAACCCAACGAGGCUCGGGCCCGACGCUGCCGCCUGCCGGGGCGGGGCCGGGAACAAAGCCUGCCUCAGGGCCGCUGCCCCCGGCGCCGCCGCACGGUCACUACGAAGCGCGGAACCUCGGCCCGCGAGGCCCGGCCGAGCGCCUCCCGGCCACGGAGCUGCCGCCACGCCGCCUCAACACCGCAGGGAACGAGCGGGGGAAGCUCGGCAGGGCCGGAAAGGAGGGACGGAGAGAGGAGAGGAGAGGGACGGAGCGAGGCGGCGGGGCGGCGCUCCAGCCGGGCGGCUGUACCGAGGGCAGCUGUGCCGAGCGCCGCCCGCCCCCGGCCCGCCGUAAACAAAGUGGCCCGGCCGCUCAUCCCAACCAAGCCCCGUUUCCGUCGGAGCGCUCCCUCCCCCUCCCCACGGUCCGGCCGCCACCUCACCCUCACCGCUCCCGGAGCGCCGCCGCCCCGCAAAGCGCCGCCGUCGGGAAGCGGGCUCUGCCGCUCACGCCGCUUUAUGCCGCUGUAUCCGCCGCUCCCUCCGGUAACUCGACGGCCCGGCCCGGCCCGGCCCGACCUCCCGCCCCCACCGCCCCGCCACGAACCGCCGCUCACUGGGGCGCGAGCGCAGCACUCACACGGCACCGCCCCCACGCCCCAUCCCCAUUGGCUCCUUCUGGUCGAGCCCGCCCUCCAAGCCCCGCCCCGCGGCGUGACUCUCGGCCAAUCAAAGCGCCACGCACGGCGGCCUGCUGUCAGGCGAUAGGCUGA